rnacentral:piRNA from 1 species
UGAUAGCUUGCCUCCUGCAUAAUGCAGCCACC